AGCGAACGCUGGCGGCAGGCUUAACACAUGCAAGUCGAACGGAUCCUUCGGGAUUAGUGGCGGACGGGUGAGUAACACGUGGGAACGUGCCCUUAGGUUCGGAACAACACAGGGAAACUUGUGCUAAUACCGGAUAAGCCCUUCGGGGGAAAGAUUUAUCGCCAUUGGAGCGGCCCGCGUCUGAUUAGCUAGUUGGUGAGGUAAUGGCUCACCAAGGCGACGAUCAGUAGCUGGUCUGAGAGGAUGAUCAGCCACAUUGGGACUGAGACACGGCCCAAACUCCUACGGGAGGCAGCAGUGGGGAAUCUUGCGCAAUGGGCGAAAGCCUGACGCAGCCAUGCCGCGUGAAUGAUGAAGGUCUUAGGAUUGUAAAAUUCUUUCACCGGGGACGAUAAUGACGGUACCCGGAGAAGAAGCUCCGGCUAACUUCGUGCCAGCCGCCGCGGUAACAC
rnacentral:rRNA from 1 species